CGGAGGGCUUGUCCUGCUUGCGUGCGACGCGGGAACACGAGCCUCCCCUCCUCGCUAAGCCCAGCGCCCUCCGGGCCUUCACCGACCCCAGAGGUUCCUUCACUGUGUUUGUGAGUCUACCACUCUGCAGGACACUGAUCUCCCCCAAACUUAAUUCAGUGACCGCUUUGUGCGGCUCCCUGGACCAAGCUCUUCACGUCCGUGGUCACUGUUAGUUCUGCCUGCGGAACUGAGGCAUUGUGCUUGACAGCAAGGAAACAAACGUGACUAAGACCCUGACCCUGCCUUCAAGGAACUUACAGUUCAGGUCAAGUUGUCUCCUUUGAGGGAUGUCUGCCUUUCAGGCCUCCUGCAUCACUGGGAAGCGAAAGGUUCCUUAAUCUCCCCACCUACCCUCAAAUGAGAGACCUGACCUCCAUCUUGGUUUGCGUUACUUUCCUGCUUGGAGGCCUUUAGGAUGUCUCCCUGCUUCCUACAGAAUGAAGUCCUAAUGCCUCAGUUCCUGGCUGGCAUUCAAAGCCCUCUCAGCCCCCCCCCCCAAUCUCCAGUCACACUCCCCCUUUAGCUGGCACGUGACCGGCCACCUAGCCUCCUGGUUUCUUGUAUCAAACAAUCCAUCUACUUGAAUUCUUUUCCUUCCUAGCCACCUACUUUGACUUAAUUCCUCCUUCUCAACAAAGCCUUCUGAUAAACGGUUUCUGCUAGAAUUGCUCUCUCCCUUCUCCCCUUCCCUGCAACUUUUUUAGUCUUCUCUGCUGGCUACCACAGCCUGGUUAUAAGUCACCUGUCUGGCCUCCAGGCUCAGGUGGGAGGCCCUGCAGGGCAGUGGCCAGGUCUUUGUCUUGGCGCUGCCGGGCACAAGCAGAUCUAAGAAUGCUCGCUGACUACUUGCUGAGGUGACAUUGCCUGAAUGCACUGAAUAUGCAAAUAGGUAAAAUCUAGGAAACCAGGUGGUCUUCAACAGUCUCUCCAUACAACUGGAAUCAUAAAAUGGGCACUUCGUAAUUACCCAAUCAAUCUGAUCCCUGUGUGAAGCCUAUUUACAUAAUUUAAACCCACAGAGUAAUCUUACAGGGCCCUGGCUAGGAGAUGGGUCUGUCUACGCGAAACACAUUCACUGGUCAACAGGAGCACAGACACCUCGUCUUUGGUGUUGCGCUGGGAUCAAGCGUAGCCUGUCUUUGUAGAGGCCUCUCUCCUUACCCUGCAAGAGAGAUGGGCUUCUCAUGGUGUUGUCUAGAUUUCUGAGAAGAUAUAGACUCCCAAGCAGCAUCAACAACCCCUGCACAGGCUGAAACUCCAAGACUAGAUCAUGAUAAGCUUUGAAGAGUUGUACACAGGGAUUGCUUCCCUCAGGAAUUCCUACCAGGUUCCUGGAUCUCACACCAUGGAAAAACACAGAAGAUGAAAGAACAAUACUCCGGCCAGAAUUUAAGGAGAUUCUUAACAGAAGAGAGAAAGAGGAGAGGAGGGGCCGUGGGAGAGGGAGAGAGA